GAUGAAGAACGUAGUGAAAUGCGAUAAGUAGUGUGAAUUGCAGAAUUCAGUGAAUCAUCGAAUCUUUGAACGCACAUUGCGCCCCUUGGUAUUCCAUGGGGCAUGCCUGUUCGAGCGUCAUUUGUACCUUCAAGCUUUGCUUGGUGUUGGGUGUUUGUCUCGCCUUUGCGUGUAGACUCGCCUUAAAAUAAUUGGCAGCCGGCGUAUUGAUUUCGGAGCGCAGUACAUCUCGGGCUUUGCACUCAUAACGACAGCGUCCAAAAGUACAUUUUACACUCUUGACCUCGGAUCAGGUAGGGAUACCCGCUGAACUUAAGCAUAUCAAUAAGCGGAGGA
rnacentral:misc_RNA from 1 species